rnacentral:rRNA from 1 species
UACGGAGGGUGCAAGCGUUAUCCGGAUUCACUGGGGUUAAAGGGUGCGUAGGCGGGCAGGUAAGUCAGUGGUGAAAUCCUAGAGCUUAACUCUAGAACUGCCAUUGAUACUAUCUGUCUUGAAUAUUGUGGAGGUAAGCGGAAUAUGUCAUGUAGCGGUGAAAUGCUUAGGUAUGACAUAGAACACCUAUUGCGAAGGCAGCUUACUACGCAUAUAUUGACGCUGAGGCACGAAAGCGUGGGGAUCAAACAGG